rnacentral:rRNA from 1 species
UACAGAGGUCCCGAGCGUUGUUCGGAUUCACUGGGCGUAAAGGGUGCGUAGGUGGCAUGUUAAGUUUGAUGUGAAAGCUCAGGGCUUAACCCUGAAAUGGCAUUGAAUACUAGCGUGCUGGAGGUUUGGAGGGGGGACUGGAAUUCGUCGGUGUAGCAGUGAAAUGCGUAGAUAUCAGGAAGAACACCCGUGGCGAAGGCGGCUCUCUGGGACGGUACUGACGCUGAGACGCGAAAGCGUGGGGAGCGAACAGG